GAGAGAGAGAGAGAGAGAGGGAGAGCGAGAGCGAGAGAGAGAGAGAGAGAGAGAAAAGUAGUUUCUACUUUUGGACGUUUUUUGUACAGGAUCUGACAUCUGCUGGGAAAUUAGAAAUAAAAUCUUCGCGAGGAUCACGAACGAUUCAUUCAUGUUAAAAAAUUGAUUAUUGAAUGACGAGAAAAAGAAAAAAAAAAUAAUAAUAAAGAAGGAAAAAAGGAAACAUAAAAAAAUCCCAUUGAAAAUACAUGCGUACGAGUGCGUAGGAAUAGACACUAGGAAAUAUCGUAAAUAAGAAAACUUGAACAAUCGACUACCAGAAAAAGCUCAUAUACGUAUCGAUGGAUCGGGUACGGCAUGAGAGGAAUGUAAAAGAAAACGUAACAGCAAAGGUGAAGAUGCGUUUGUUUAUUAUUAACCUUAUGUAAUAUCGUUUCAAAUUCUCAAUUACAUUAUUAUAUAUAAUAAUAAUUAUAAUAAUCAUAAUAAUAAUAUGACAAUGUAUACAGGUUAGAUACAACUUUUUCUUCAUCUUGCAUGGAGUUUUGUUAAUUUUUUCUUCAUCUUAAUAAAUCGGUUUUUGUUUCAUAA